UAGCGUGUUGUAACUGAAUGUUAUUCUUUUUUCUAAACGGUGUUGUUGAUUUGUAUAAGUUAAAUUUUACAAUUCGAAAUGGAAAUUGAAAAUAUAGAUCGCAAAGGUACCAAACGAACCAGGUCCGUGAAUUAUAGCGUCGAAGACUGCCUAAAACUGGUGGACCUUAUCCGUCCACUAAAAAAUAUUAUCGAAAACAAAAAAACUGAUGCUGUCCAGUGGACGGAAAAAAACAAAGCAUGGGACAGUAUAUGUACGAGGUAUAAUAGUAUCACGACCCAGUCUAGAACGACAAAAGAAUUGAGGCAGAAGUACGAAGCCCUCAAACGUGAUGCUAGGAAAGACUCUGCUUUGCGGCGACAGGCCUUAUUGCAAACUGGAGGCGGACCAGGAAUUGAAAUAAAAAAUAACAUCGUACUGGAGAAAAUAAAAGAACUCCUCCAGCUUUCUGCUGACGGAUUGAGCAGCAUUUUCGACUGCGACCGGAUAUGCGAUGCACAAGUUUCUGUAGCAACUGUUGAACCAGGUGAGGUGCAGGAAGAAAUUUUGGAAACCUUAGAGGUACGUUAAAAAAAAAUGCAGCUAUCCCUAAGAACAAGGUAAUGAGUGUGAAGCAAUACUGAAAAUUUUAUAAAGUGGUCUUAAGUGUUUGCUAUAUGUAAAAGUUCAUUUAGUCUAAUAUUUAUACAUUUCUUUUAACAUUGCAGUUUGAAUGUCUUUGGAAACUUGUUAUUGUAUGUAUAUAACCUGAAAAGUACUUACGUUUUAGAAAAAAUUUUAAUUAUCUGUUCAGCUGUAGCAACUGUUCCGUUUGAGGUAGACAGUUUUUAAAUAGCCUAGUGUGUAUUGAUACUAUCCUUCGGUGUGACAGAUUUUAAUAUUUCAAGGAAGCAUAACGUACUAAGUAGUGCUUGAUUUUUGAGAACAUUCUGAAAACGAGCAUUUUUAUUGAACUCCAAUAUUGUUGUGACAUCCUCUUGUGUGUCUGUUUUUCUGAAAUGUCGCUGCUAGUUAAUUUAGAAUAAAAUGCAACAAAUAAUUUUUGUGUUAUUGGUCACAGGAAAGUAGCGCAACUCGGUAGUUACCUUGCCAAAUUGUAAAGUUUAUCUUAUUUUUAUUAGCCUCCUUACAUGCAUGUAAAGUUCACCUUCGCUACCCCACAUUGGCCGUUGCUAACAGUUACUUCUCGCUAUGUCAAAAGACUUGCAUAACUCUACUGGACUGCUGCUUUAAGCUUUUAAAUUUACUCUGCCCAAUCUUGCCUGGUCCGUUUUUUCCUCGUGGCCACUGCAGCUUCCUCUCCACGAAUAAUGCAGACUCUUCGGCUUAUCAUGUAGCAGCGUGAUUCCCACCGUUAUAUUUGCUUCUCACUAUGCAUAGUAUUUAUUACCCGUAUUUAAGAUUGCACAUUUACAUAUUUAAUUUAAUUAUUAAUCAUCUGAAACUGCAAAACACUUACCUUAAUGAAUUAAAAUACCAAAAUUCUUAUAUCACACUUGUUUGCCAAAUUAGGCCCAUCUCAAUGUAUAUCAAAGUGUUCAGUAUACUAUAUUAUGUGGAUUAUGUAACAAUGCAUUAAUUUAAGUUUUUUUUAUUAUUAUUAUUUAAACUAGGAAAUUGCAGAAAAAGCUUCAUGCUGGGAACAUUUACGAGAGGAAGAUUACUACGAAACUGUGGAACUGCAAGGUGUACCUGAUAGUACAUUGGCAACUGCGUCAGUCAUCUCUGCCACAGGAAAUUCGGAGAGAGAAACAGAUGACUGGUCAUCCUACAAGCCAUCCAUGCUGAGAAAAGCAAAAAAUUGUAAACUGAAGGAGAAAAUUGCUGCAUCACACGAUGAAUCGGAACGUUUAACUCCAAAUGUGCACUGUCUGGGGAAGCUUGCCUGGCCAGCAACACUUUUUUCCACGCAGAUGCAUGAAAAUCGUCAAGAAGUAUGCAGAGGAAACGGCCUGCAUUCCAUGACCGGCCAUUAUCAAUGAAUGGGGAGCGGCUCAGCGGUUGGGCAACGGAG